rnacentral:lncRNA from 1 species
AUAGAUGUUAAAACAAGCAUACUAUUCAAGUAUGUUCCCAGUAUCCAGAAUAUGUAUGAAAAAUAGGUCAAUCCAGGCAGACCUAGUUUUGAGUGCGUGUGCAAUAAAGGCAAAACAUUGCCUUCCAGUAACCUUUUAGGGAGAAUCCUGUAUUUACUGUCUUAUUUUUCUGUUGCUUUGAUAAAACACUAACCAAUGGUAACUUCAAUGUUUAUUUUGCUCCAGAGGGUUGGAGUCCAUAAUGGCAGGGAGGCAUGGCCUGAUGGCAGGAGCAGGAGGCUGGGUGAUUGCAUUUUUCUUCCACAGACAGGAAGCAGAGUUGGAGGCGAUCAGGAAGGAAAUGGACAAGACUGUAAACCUUCAAACGCCACCUCUCUAGCAAGGCUGCACCUCCUAAAGGUUACACACACAACUGCACCACCAACUGGGACCAAGUGUUUAAAUGCAUAGAGACAUUCAGUGGGAAGAUGAAAGCCUGUUCCACAUGAAGGAGAAUGAAAUUAGACUCUCAUCUCUGACUUUGUACAGAAAAGAAUUCAAGAUGGAUGAAAGACGUCAACUUAAAUCUGGAAUGUUUGAACUACUGGGUGAAAAUGUAGGGAACAUUCUUUAAGAUACCGGGAUGGGCAAGAACUUUCUGAACAGAGCUUUAAUAGCAUAGGAACUAGACCCAGGUGUCAACAGAUGGGACUACAUGAAAAUAAAAUGUUUUGACACGGCAAGAGAAACUAUCAGCAAAACCAACAGCCCACAGAAGGGAGAAAAUCUUUACCAGUUAUACUUCUGAUGAGGGGCUAGUAUCCAGAAUUUACAAAGAAACAAGGAAAUAAAACUGUCAUUCAACAAAUGGUCUAGUAAACUGGAUGAACAGUUUUUUAAGAAGGAUAACCUCCCCCUUUGGGGAUUUGGUGUUUUAGAGACAGGCUUUUUCUGUGUAACAGCCCUGGUUGUCCUGGAACUCACUCUGUAGACCAGGCUGGCCUCAAAUUCACAGAGAUAAUCUCAACACUUCACUCCUGGGCUUAUACUCAGAGACUUCCACACCCUACCCUAGAGAUGUUUGCAUACCCGUUUUUGUUACUGCUCCAUUUACUAUAGCAAGGAAAUGGAACAAACCUAGAUGU